rnacentral:rRNA from 1 species
UGGGGAAUAUUGGACAAUGGACCGAGAGUCUGAUCCAGCAAUUCUGUGUGCACGAUGAAGUUUUUCGGAAUGUAAAGUGCUUUCAGUUGGGAAGAAAAAAAUGACGGUACCAACAGAAGAAGUGACGGCUAAAUACGUGCCAGCAGCCGCGGUAAUACGUAUGUCACGAGCGUUAUCCGGAUUUAUUGGGCGUAAAGCGCGUCUAGGUGGUUAUGUAAGUCUGAUGUGAAAAUGCAGGGCUCAACUCUGUAUUGCGUUGGAAACUGUAUAACUAGAGUACUGGGGAGGUAAGCGGAACUACAAGUGUAGAGGUGAAAUUCGUAGAUAUUUGUAGGAAUGCCGAUGGGGAAGCCAGCUUACUGGACAGAUACUGACGCUAAAGCGCGAAAGCGUGGGUAGCAAACAGGAUUAGAUACCCUGGUAGUCCACGCUGUAAACGAUGAUUACUAGGUGUUGGGGGUCGAACCUCAGCGCCCAAGCAAACGCGAUAAGUAAUCCGCCUGGGGAGUACGUACGCAAGUAUG